rnacentral:lncRNA from 1 species
CAUUGACUGGUUUUAUUUUAUGCAGCUUUACCCCACAUAUUUCAGAUGAGAGCAGUAACCCUUCAAUUCUGCAUUUCCUUGUAGCAGCAGGUACAUGGGGCUGCUCUUUUCCUUGUGUUCAUUAAGUACCUUCCAAGCAGAUGACAAAGACAGUUGCCAGCUAAACUAAGUGGAUUAAAACUGCUUUUCAUGUGCUCAGCUACAAUAGUUACUUGCCAACAAGUAUUCCUUUUCUUUCUCUCCCCAAACUGUUAGUUUAGGCAAAAAAUGUGAGUGCUAAACUAAUUUCCAAGUAUGAAAUUCCUUCCAGGAUGCAUUUCUUGGCUGGGAUGGAGGGUGUAGCUCCCUCAGCUCUGUUCAGUUCCACAGUGAUUAUAAUGGCCCAAAGGUCUGUCCUUCUCCCAAGCUCCAAGUCUAUGGUAUGUGAGAAAAAAAGCAUGACAACUAGAAGGCAGAGGGAUAAGUGAUCAGGAACAAACACAAGGGCUUGUUAACUUAGAGAACCAGUUCAAUAUCUCUAGUACUCAACAGACUUACCCCAGCACGUGGCUGUCUGUCAUGUCCCUCAUUCCUGGUGGACUGGACUUUAUCUUGUUGGAAUGUGAACUUACAGGCCCAUUGAAUUUGAAAAGCACGCAGCUCCACCUGGGCUAUCCAAAUGAUAGAGAGGCCCCCCAGUGAGGUCACAGCUCUGCAGGGUCUGACAUGGCAACACACCUGCCUAAGGAUCCGUCCCCAGAGUACUGUUUGGUUUCUCUAGUCAAUCCACAUGCUUUAGCUAAGAGAAAUUUGAGUGAGAAUCCCUCCACUGCUGCUACCCUCAUCUCAUGGACAGGCCUUGUGGGAGGUAUGGACAAACCUACAGCAUACAGCAGAGCCCCAUGUUUCUGCGAUCUGCUGGGCCACCAUGAAAGAGCAGCAUAUUGCUGUAAUGAGUGA